AGGGGCGGGGACCCCCUCCUAUGGUGCCUGCUCUCCUCCCUACCCCCACCCGGCCCUGAGCAGUGCCCACGUGGCUCUCCAGGAGCAUUUCCCAGCUUUUUUUUUUUUUUUUUAACUUUUAUUAGCUCAGACUCCUGGCUGCUGCAGCCAUAUGGAGCUCUGCCGACGGCUGCUGCUCAAAGAGAUGUGGCAUUUUGUUGUUUCUAACUUUAUCUUAACCAGGAGAGACACAGGAGCACAGCUGAGAGUGGGGAGUGCCCUCGU
rnacentral:sRNA from 1 species